CUAGCAGAAUCCUGAGUAGGCCGGGACACGAGGAAUCCCGGUUGAAACCGCGAGGACCAUCUCGCAAGGCUAAAUACUAGUUAGUGACCGAUAGUGAACCAGUACCGUGAGGGAAAGGUGAAAAGAACCCCGGAAGGGGAGUGAAAAAGAACCUGAAACCGUGUGUCUACAAGUAGUCAAAGCACAUUAAAGUGCAAUGGCGUGCCUUUUGUAGAAUGAACCGGCGAGUUACGUUAUCUAGCGAGGUUAAGUCAGAAAAGACGGAGCCGGAGCGAAAGCGAGUCUUAAUAGGGCAAAAAGUUAGGUGACGUAGACCCGAAACSAAGUGACCUACCCAUGACCAGGCUGAAGGUGUGGUAAAACGCACUGGAGGGCCGAACCCACGUAAGUUAAAAAUUGCGGGGAUGAGUUGUGGGUAGCGGUGAAAUUCCAAACGAACUUGGAGAUAGCUGGUUCUCUCCGAAAUAGCUUUAGGGCUAGCCUCGUGGAGAGGAUAAUGGAGGUAGAGCUCUGUUUGGACUAGGGGCCCGUCAGGGGUUACUGAAUCCAGAUAAACUACGAAUUCCAGAUAUCCAUACACGGGAGUCAGACUGCGAGUGAUAAGAUCCGUAGUCGAAAGGGA
rnacentral:rRNA from 1 species